rnacentral:misc_RNA from 1 species
GAAAUGCGAUAAGUAAUGUGAAUUGCAGAAUUCCGUGAAUCAUCGAAUCUUUGAACGCACAUUGCGCCCUCUGGUAUUCCGGGGGGCAUGCCUGUCCGAGCGUCAUUGCGAACCCCUCAAGCACGGCUUGCGUGAUGGGCCCUCCCGCGUCUUGGUCGUCAAGACGGGCCCGAAAUGCAGUGGCGGCUUCGCGGUUAUCCGAUCAGCCAGAGCGUAUGGGGACUUUCUCUCUGUCACACGCCCGCGGCGCGGACCGACGCCUGUCGACCUUCAUUCAUCGUUUUCUCGGUUGACCUCGGAUCAGGUAGGGAUACCCGCUGAACUUAAGC